CCUACGGGAGGCAGCAGUAGGGAAUAUUGCUCAAUGGGGGAAACCCUGAAGCAGCAACGCCGCGUGGAGGAUGAAGGUUUUAGGAUUGUAAACUUCUUUUGUGAGAGAAGAUAAUGACGGUAUCUCACGAAUAAGCACCGGCUAACUCCGUGCCAGCAGCCGCGGUAAUACGGAGGGUGCAAGCGUUACUCGGAAUCACUGGGCGUAAAGAGUGCGCAGGCGGGCUUGUAAGUCAGAUGUGAAAUCCUGUAGCUUAACUACAGAACUGCAUUUGAAACUAUGAGUCUAGAGUGUGGGAGAGGUAGGUGGAAUUCUUGGUGUAGGGGUAAAAUGCGUAGAUAUCAAGAGGAAUACUCAUUGCGAAGGCGGCCUACUGGAACAUUACUGACGCUGAUGCACGAAAGCGUGGGGAGCAAACAGGAUUAGAUACCCGGGUAGUC
rnacentral:rRNA from 1 species